CAUGUUUUUGUACGGCAGGAUCGCAAAGCACGCCGGGACCGGUUGGCUUGGUUUUGAAGACGUGGAUGGCGGGAAUUCUCGCCCCCUGGCCUGGGUGAGCUAGAAAGGAGAAGCAAGGACAUUGAGGUCCCUAUCACCGCUUGCCUAGACAACUUCAUGGGAAGGCCCUUGGCAAUCUGAGAUGGAGCAGGCGAACCCUUUACGUCCAGAUGGCGAGUCUAAAGGAGGUGUUUUAGCUCACUUGGAAAGGCUAGAGAACCAAAUGAGCAGAUCCCGUAAACAGUCUGAAGAGCCGCAGAGCGUGCAGGCCCAGGAACGUGUUCUUGGAACCAAGAUUCAGAAACUAAGGCAUCUGCGAGAUGAUCUGAGGGCUGCGGUGCGGCACCGGCGAGGCAGCGUGAAAGCAUGUAUUGCCAAUGUAGAACCCAACCGAAUAGUGGAGGUCAGUGAGCAAGAAGCAUUGGAAGAGAAACUGGAAAACGUGAAAGCCGUUCUGCAGGCGUAUCAUUUUACAGGCCUCAGUGGUAAGCUGACCAGCCGAGGAGUUUGUGUCUGCAUCAAUACUGCUUUUGAGGGGAACCUAUUGGAUUCCUAUUUUGUGGACCUUGUCAUACAGAAACCACUCCGGAUACAUCACCAUUCAGUUCCAGUCUUCAUUCCUCUGGAAGAAAUAGCUGCAAAAUACUUACAGACCAACAUCCAGCACUUCCUGUUCAGUCUCUGCGAGUACCUGAAUGCUUACUCUGGGAGGAAGUACCAGGCAGACCGGCUUCAGAGUGACUUUGCAGCCCUCCUGACUGGGCCCUUGCAGAGAAACCCACUGUGUAACUUGCUGUCAUUUACUUACAAACUGGACCCAGGCGGUCAGUCCUUCCCGUUCUGUGCUAGAUUGCUGUAUAAGGAUCUCACAGCAACUCUUCCCACUGACGUCACCGUGACAUGUCAAGGAGGGGAAGCAUUAUCCACUUCAUGGGAGGAGCAACGAGCAUCUCAUGAAACUCUGUUCUGUACGAAGCCCCUGCAUCAAGUGUUUGCCUCAUUUGCAAGAAGAGAAAAGUUGGAUAUGAGUCUGGUCUCCUAAUAGAUUGUUUUCACUGCACUGGGAACACCUCAGAGAAAUAAACCCCCCCUCCCCUGCCAGGUGAAAGGAAAUAUUGCACUUUCUGCUCUCAUGACUAAGGGGACAGGGGUUCCAGAAGAACCUUUCAAGAUGAUGAGGAACACCAGGACGAGGGCCAUCUCACCUCACUUGGACCACAUGGAGACCACCAGGCUCGAGGCUGUUCAGGAGUUGUCUACCACCUGGUGGGGCAGUGUGACAGAGGGGCCGUUGAGGAAGGCGGCUGGCUUGUCCCGCCCCUUCAAGAAGAAGGUCAGCAGCUCCCCCUUCCCCUUCACAAAGAUGGGGCCUCGCCUCACAAAGCGGAAGCCGUACUCUCGGAGGAUGACUUGGGUUUCUUCUACCACCUGUAGAGGGAUGGGGAGCAAGAAUGUGGCGUUACUGGGGGAGCCUAGACUGAGGGCGGGUGGGGCUUUGGGUGGUUGGAGCUGAGCACUGAUCCAUGGGUCCCAGGCAGUACAGGGCCCUCAGCACCCUUCCCAAACCUCCCAGGGCCAAGCCCUUCCUUCCACCCCCAGUGAGCAGCGGGUGGGCAGGAGAGCCCUGGAGUGAGUGGCUGGGGGCCUCCUCUCGCCCAGAGACUUCUCUCCUAGGACAGCCAUUGUCACCUGGGUGGCAGCACUGUUGCCUGGAAACUGCCACUGCCUGCUCUUGUAUCCCUUUGCCCCUUUUGUGGAGCUCUUCUGCCAGACCCCACUGAGACAGAUCACAAGGUAUCGGAAGGUUCAUACCCAGAGGCAGGCCAUACGCACCCAGAACUUCAGCCCAGAUUUUGUGGAUGGGUGGGAGCGUUUCCUCCUGCGCUGAGGCUAGCUAUUGCAGAGACUCCUUUCCACUCACCCCAUGCCUCUGCCUGUGGACUUAACUGUUCGGGGCCAGGGUGGGAGGCGGGCACAUGGGAAAGCACUGUUCCGAUUCUGUUCCUAUGCCGAGUCUGAGCACGCGCCGGCUCUGCUGCUGGACAUACCUGGAUGUUGCCCAUGACCCCCGUGGACUCCAUCCUGCUGGCUACAUUGACCGUAUUGCCCCAGAUGUCGUAGUGUGGUUUCCGGGCUCCGAUGACCCCAGCCAGAACCCCGCCUUUGUUCAUGCCUAGGGUGGAGGCAUAAAGUUCAGCACAGCCACAGGCCAAACCUUGUCAUGAGCCUCAGAAACCAACUCCUCUUUUAUAGAAUUUGUCACCAGACCUGUACCACAAAGCUCCUAAUUAUGUAACACAUCAUUGUCCUCGUUCAACUUGCCUGUAUGCUACUGGAGGGUGGCAGUCACGUCUCCUGUUUAUCUGUGUGCUUGGCAGUGUCAGCUGCCACCCCCCCAUAUGCAGAUUUACUCAGCAUGGUAGUGACCAGUUCUAAUACACCUGGUAUUUCAAGUC